GACGAACGCUGGCGGCGUGCUUAACACAUGCGAGUCGAACGGAAAGGCCCUGCUUUUGUGGGGUGCUCGAGUGGCGAACGGGUGAGUAACACGUGAGUAACCUGCCCUUGACUUUGGGAUAACUUCAGGAAACUGGGGCUAAUACCGGAUAGGAGCUCCUGCUGCAUGGUGGGGGUUGGAAAGUUUCGGCGGUUGGGGAUGGACUCGCGGCUUAUCAGCUUGUUGGUGGGGUAGUGGCUUACCAAGGCUUUGACGGGUAGCCGGGCUGAGAGGGUGACCGGACCCAUUGGGACUGAGAUGCGGCCCAGCCUCCUACGGGAGGCAGCAGUGGGGAAUAUUGCACAAUGGGCGGGAGCCUGAUGCAGCACCGCCGCGUGCGGGAUGACGGCCUUCGGGUUGUAAACCGCUUUCGCCUGUGACGAAGCGUGAGUGACGGUAAUGGGUAAAGAAGCACCGGCUAACUACGUG
rnacentral:rRNA from 1 species